rnacentral:rRNA from 1 species
GAUGAACGCUGGCGGCGUGCCUAAUACAUGCAAGUCGAGCGAACAGAUGAGGAGCUUGCUCCUCUGACGUUAGCGGCGGACGGGUGAGUAACACGAGGAUAACCUACCCAUAAGACGGGGAUAACUUCGGGAAACCGGCGCUAAUACCGGAUAAUAUAUUGAACCGCAUGGUUCAAUAGUGAAAGACGGUUUUGCUGUCACUUAUAGAUGGAUCCGCGCCGCAUUAGCUAGUUGGUAAAGUAACGGCUUACCAAGGCAACGAUGCGUAGCCGACCUGAGAGGGUGAUCGGCCACACUGGAACUGAGACACGGUCCAGACUCCUACGGGAGGCAGCAGUAGGGAAUCUUCCGCAAUGGGCGAAAGCCUGACGGAGCAACGCCGCGUGAGUGAUGAAGGUCUUCGGAUCGUAAAACUCUGUUAUUAGGGAAGAACAAAUGUGUAAGUAACUAUGCACGUCUUGACGGUACCUAAUCAGAAAGCCACGGCUAACUACGUG